ensembl:antisense Mccc1os methylcrotonoyl-Coenzyme A carboxylase 1 (alpha), opposite strand
GCCUCGCAUCCGGGCCGCGCACGGACCGGCAGUACCCCUGAGUCACCUCGGCUGCAGCAGCAGGAUCGGGACCCGUCGCAACUGGUUCCUGUCCACCGCAGCCAACAACGCCGCCGCCGCCAUCUCCGCGCUGUUCUGCUGGAUUCCAAAAGCUGCUUGGCUUAUUCUUGAAAGCGUCCCUCCCUGCGCAAGCUUCUUGUCCCCGAUCCGCCACCGUAGCUCCGAAGAGCAAGUAGGCGUCUCCGCAAGAGCCAAUCACAAAACUGGGUGUUUCAAGCUAGAUUGUCCUUGCUGCGUGAGACCCACCUGCUACAGUUGAGAAAGAAUGGAGCGAGGCCAGCUCAAUAUCACAGAUGCUGGAAGGCUGCCAAGCCACUCACAGACUUGACUUCAAUUUCCAUUGGAAAGCACACAGAGAAGACAGUAGCUGACCAUAUCUGAGCUAGUGCCCUUUGCAGUGGGCUGAGCCUGGCUACUGCCUAAGCAGAAAUUCAACUCAACAAGGCAAACUGAGACAAGCCUGAAGUGAGGCAGAAUACCACGCAGCAGGAGUAUGUUACAGAGGAAGCUUCUUGCUUCAUGGUGGCCGUGGAGCAGAGAAACGGGGCUGAGACCAAGCAUACGUGUGCCUCCAGUGACCCACUUUCUUCAAUUAGACGCAGCUAUGGAUUCCUGGUGCAUUAGCUCUUUAAUGACUUUAGCUCUAUCAUGGUCCUCUUACCCCAGAUAUGUCUUCAGCAUGUAAAUUCUGUGUGCACAGGAUGGCAGCAGGGAGAGUGUCAACACCCACAUUGAAAACUAUGGCCUCACAAUGCAAUUGUAACAACAUAGUAACUGUGACUAAUAAAGCACUUAGUGGGAGCAAAGACUUCAUCAGUCCAAUUUAGUGUCUGUAUUGCAGACUUAGGAUCUUAAGUUCUACAGGUCAAAGCAUGAGUGAUAGAAUCCAGUCUCUUUAGGAAAUAGAGUUUUAAUAUACAUGACUAUAUUGACAUAAUGAACAACAUCUUUCUUUUCUGGGAUUGAAUAGUUAAAUGUUUGCCUAAUGAUCACAGAUGAAUAUAAGAAAUUCUUUUCUAAAAUCCAAAGAUCAAAUCACUAUCCUCUGGGAGAAAAUGUUUAUAUAAUGACUUAUAUAUUCCUGACUAGAUGUAUAAGUUAUGUGAAAUUCAUUAUCAAAAUCUUACUGAAAAAGUCUUAGAUAGAAAUAGAUAUCCCAAAUUCUAGAUCAAAUAACCACUUUACUAUCAUUUUAUAGGCUGUUCUAAAAUCCAGAGAGUCAUGCACACCCUUAGAAUGCACAGCUUAGGCUUGGUGUGUGGCUCAGUGCUACGAUGCUUGCUUUGUACCUGUAAGGUCCCGGGUUCAGUCUCCAUGCCACAGAAAUCAUAACAGCAGUAGCAAUAACAGCUACUUAAUAAAAGAAAUUUAUUCCUUUUGUACAUUGUACCUAAAGUUCACACAUUAUUUACAAUAGGUAAACAAUUUAGUAAGAGCAGCACUAUUCACAAAGUCAAAGCGCAGAAGGUGCCUGCUUGUUCUUCUGUGUGAUGGGUGAGUGGAUAAGAAUGUAGGCCGUACAAACUGGUUUUCCCAACUCUUAUAACACCUUUAUUUAAAAUUCACUACCCAGAUCAGUAAUUUUGUGAAGUAUCAAGAAUUUCAUGCAGCAAACUUCUAUAAACAGAACUACUUGUAUUACUAAUAUAAGCAAAUGUACUGGUAUGAACAAGAAUAUGUUUACCAAUGAAAAGGUCCCACCAGCUAAAAUUGUCAAGAGCCAUGAAAGAGGCUCACACAGCUUUGGAAUUCAUGGAGAACUGUGGAUUGUCGUCAAUACACAGGUGAGAGCAGGUGAAAUAUAAGACUAGAAUCUGUGACUGGGCAAUGAAAACCGUAGGAGGGGCUGAGAGUUUCAGAGAGACAGGACUAGACACAGAGAGGCAAGGACAGAGAAAGAUGGAGGAAGAGUAAAAGGAAUCCACGUGGCUUGAAAUAGUCUCAGGUAGCUAUGACAUCAUAGAAGAGCAAUAGAAUAAUGUAGGGCAAUUUGUCCAAUUUAGGAGCAUAGCUUGUGUUUAUAUCAGUCUAGGUGGGCAUCUUGUAUUAAUAUCAAUCGGCUCUGAGUUUAUUGUGUGGGCGUUUCAUGGGUUGAGAUUUAUUGAUACAAAUCUGACUGAUAAUUUACAAGCCUUUGGAGUUUUGGUUUUACUGGAUUAGGGGACUUGUGACAGCUAACCACAGGGGUUGGAUGACAGAAAACAGCGGUUCAGUGGCAAACAAACCACAGGGAUGGAGUGGGAAGACCGUUGCGGCCCCAGCGUAGCUAGGAUAGUAUAGUUUUUGUUUUUGUUUUUGUUUUUGUUUUUUUGUUGUUUUUUAAUUAUUACAUGCAACAGAGAGCAGCCCACAGGUUAGCAUGACCUGGGUGGGUGUGCCUUGGAGAGGCAGAGGCCCAAGGACUACAAGUCCUGGCGACCUCAUACUGCUCGUGGAGUAUCUCUCUCCUUGGAGUAUUGUGUGCAGGGUCAUCAUGUCCCUCAUAAUCUAUGAGCUGUGUGAAAACUCUGAGGGGGUUUCCAGCCCCUCACUGGGCAGUGUCACUGGCACUCACAAUAAUAAUCAUUGAUCUUUACUGUGUUGCUGCUGGAACAGAUUAACGAUUCAACCACCAUCCUUAGAGAGAACGUAGAGACGUAGAUUGUCAGAAAGUUAGGUAAAGGUGCUUUUGUUAGUAGCUUUGCUAUGGAGAAUCUUGCGGGAAGUGUAAAGUUCAGAAAGGCAGUUUUGAUAGAUGAGGGAGGGGCUCUCUGAGGUCAGAGGCAAGAACAAUGGCAGCCCGGUUAUUGCUAGCUGAUGUGCCUUUCUUGCUAAAGAUGGAUUGGUGAUUAAAGGUGAUGAUUAAUUUAUGGUAUUCAUUUUUGCCCUUGGCUUCCUGAUAUUAUUUAAUAAUAAAAAUAAAAAUGGUUGGUGAAUAAGUAUGCACCCUGAGGAUUGAAGGUAGGAAUGGCUGAUACAUAUGUUUAGAUUUGUGAUUCUUUUAAUACUUUUUAUAAGAUUACCUUUUGAGAUAAAUAUUUAAAUGAUUUAUCCUUUCUUUCUAACAGCAAGGUCUGCCAGUAAGAGAGCUUGCGAGACAAACACCUUGCUUGCUUAUACUUUGCUAAUCUGUAACAAGUUGCUUAGACAUGCAUGUAAUGGGUCCUUGGUAAUAAUUUGUUUUUCACCUGUAAUACAUGAAAUGUUUAAUCAUGUAAUGGUUUUGGGGAACAUGCUUGUUUUUGUUUUUUUUUUUUUUUUAACUUAUGUUCACUGUAAAGAAAAACAGAAUAUAAGCACAUUGUAACUGUG